rnacentral:rRNA from 1 species
UACGGCCAAACCACCCUGAACGCGCCCGAUCUUGUCGGAUCUCAGAAGCUAAGCAGGGUCGGGCCUGGUUAGUACUUGGACGGGAGACAACCUACAGAAGGGGAAACAUGCGCAAGCUAUAC